CCAGGAUGUUUGUACGAAGAAAUAAACAUCCAUUCAAAUACUGCUUAAUUUGAUGAUGACUAACACGUAAUUUUAUAAUCGUCGAGUAAGUUUUGUUAAAGCAAUUAGCUUUUCUGAUAUAUAAAUACAUAGCAGCAUACAUCUGGAUUAUCUAUUCAAACGUUUUUGCAACAUGGUGCACAUUCUACUGUGUGUGUGUUUUCUGAUCGUAGGGCUGUCUUCAACUGUAGAUGGGUACUGUUUUACACAGCAACCAACAGAUUGUGUUUACAAAGGACAAAUAAUAAAAGAUGGAACAAGGUAUAAAUCUUUCAAGGAAUGUAUCGACUGUGGGUGUAGCAACGGAUCCCUAAGUUGCUGCUCUAUUGGCGGGUACAUCACUAGCCAUUCUGCUGAGUGUAAAGUGGUACCUGAUGGACGUUGUUCGCAAAAGGUUGUCCUUAUUGCUGAUGAAACACAGCUUUGUCCAGGAGGACAUUCCGGCGUUGGACGUUAAAUUUUAAUAAAAUUACGUAUUUACUGAACGAAA